AACGCACAUUGCGCCCUCUGGUAUUCCGGGGGGCAUGCCUGUUCGAGCGUCAUUAUAACCACUCAAGCUCUCGCUUGGUAUUGGGGUUCGCGGUUUCGCGGCCCUUAAAAUCAGUGGCGGUGCCUAUCGGCUCUACGCGUAGUAAUACUCCUCGCGAUUGAGUCCGGUAGGUCUACUUGCCAGCAACCCGUAAUUUUUAAGGUUGACCUCGGAUCAGGUAGGGAUACCCGCUGAACUUAA
rnacentral:misc_RNA from 1 species